rnacentral:rRNA from 1 species
UACGUAGGGUGCAAGCGUUGUCCGGAAUUAUUGGGCGUAAAGAGCUCGUAGGCGGUUUCGUCGCGUCUGCUGUGAAAACCCGAGGCUCAACCUCGGGCCUGCAGUGGGUACGGGCAGACUAGAGUGCGGUAGGGGAGAUUGGAAUUCCUGGUGUAGCGGUGGAAUGCGCAGAUAUCAGGAGGAACACCAAUGGCGAAGGCAGAUCUCUGGGCCGUAACUGACGCUGAGGAGCGAAAGCAUGGGGAGCGAACAGG